rnacentral:misc_RNA from 1 species
GAUGAAGAACGUAGCGAAAUGCGAUAAGUAGUGUGAAUUGCAGAAUUCAGUGAAUCAUCGAAUCUUUGAACGCACAUUGCGCCCCUUGGUAUUCCAUGGGGCAUGCCUGUUCGAGCGUCAUUUGUACCUUCAAGCUCUGCUUGGUGUUGGGUGUUUGUCUCGCCUCUGCGUGUAGUCUCGCCUCAAAACAAUUGGCAGCCGGCGUAUUGAUUUCGGAGCGCAGUACAUCUCGCGCUUUGCACUCAUAACGACGACGUCCAAAAGUACAUUUUUACACUCUUGACCUCGGAUCAGGUAGGGAUACCCGCUGAACUUAAGCAUAUCAAUAAGCGGAGGA